UACGAAGGGGGCUAGCGUUGCUCGGAAUCACUGGGCGUAAAGGGUGCGUAGGUGGCAUGGUAAGUUUGAUGUGAAAUCUCCGGGCUUAACCCGGAAAUGGCAUUGAAUACUACUGUGCUGGAGGUUUGGAGGGGGGGACUGGAAUUCUCGGUGUAGCAGUGAAAUGCGUAGAUAUCGAGAGGAACACCAGUGGCGAAGGCGAGUCCCUGGACAACACCUGACACUGAGGCACGAAAGCUAGGGGGAGCAAACAGG
rnacentral:rRNA from 1 species